CCUGAUGCAGCGACCGCGUGAGGGACGAAGGCCUUCGGGUUGUAAACCCUCACAGGGAAGAAGCGAAAGUGACGGUACCUGCAGAAGAAGCGCCGGCUAACUACGUGCCAGCAGCCGCGGUAAUACGUAGGGCGCAAGCGUUAUCCGGAAUUAUUGGGCGUAAAGAGCUCGUAGGCGGUUUGUCGCGUCUGCUGUGAAAGCCCGGGGCUCAACCCCGGGUCUGCAGUGGGUACGGGCAGACUAGAGUGCAGUAGGGGAGACUGGAAUUCCUGGUGUAGCGGUGAAAUGCGCAGAUAUCAGGAGGAACACCGAUGGCGAAGGCAGGUCUCUGGGCUGUAACUGACGCUGAGGAGCGAAAGCAUGGGGAGCGAACAGGAUUAGAUACCCUGGUAGUCCAUGCCGUAAACGUUGGGCACUAGGUGUGGGGGACAUUCCACGUUUUCCGCGCCGUAGCUAACGCAUUAAGUGCCCCGCCUGGG
rnacentral:rRNA from 1 species